rnacentral:rRNA from 1 species
GCCAUGGUGAGUCAUUGUAGCAAUACAAGGCAUACGGGCUCAGUAACACGCUAGNNUANCNUAACCUAUGGACGUGGAUAACCUCGGGAAACUGCAGAAUAAUCCGCGAUAGAUCAUAAUUCCUGGAACGGUUUAUGGUCCAAAUGAUUCGUCGCCAUAGGAUGGGACUGCGGCCUAUCAGCUUGUUGGUGAGGUAAUGGCUCACCAAGGCUAUUACAGGUACGGGCUCUGAGAGGAGAAGCCCGGAGAUGGGUACUGAGACACGGACCCAGGCCCUAUGGGGCGCAGCAGGCGAGAAACCUUUGCAAUGUGCGCAAGCACGACAAGGUUAAUCCGAGUGUUUCCUGCUAAAGGAAUCUUUUGUUAGUUCUAAAACCACUGAUGAAUAAGAGGUGGGCAAGUUCUGGUGUCAGCCGCCGCGGUAAAACCAGCACCUCAAGUGGUCAGGAGGAUUAUUGGGCCUAAAGCAUCCGUAGCCGGUUCUGUAAGUUUUCGGUUAAAUCCACUAGCUUAACUAAUGGGCUGCCGAAAAUACUGCAGAACUAGGGAGUGGGAGAGGUAGACGGUACUCGGUAGGAAGGGGUAAAAUCCUUUGAUCUAUUGAUGACCACCUGUGGCGAAGGCGGUCUACCAGAACACGUUCGACGGUGAGGGAUGAAAGCUGGGGGAGCAAACCGGAUUAGAUACCCGGGUAGUCCCAGCUGUAAACGAUGCAGACUCGGUGAUGCACUGGCUUGUGGCCAGUGCAGUGCCGCAGGGAAGCCGUUAAGUUUGCCGCCUGGGAAGUACGUACGCAAGUAUGAAACUUAAANGGAAUUGGCGGGGGAGCA